UGAGCAAGGAGCACUUCAGAGGGCAAGCAAACAUUGGAUUUGAAGUGACUCGCUUACAAGUAGGCAACUCCUUAUUUACUUUUGUAGUAUACCUGCCAAUGACACUGGACGGCAUUCCAGGAUAACAACUAGCCUACCUUUGACCUACUGCCUGACGUGCUGCUAAUCGUUUAAACUGAUCACAGCGCGAUAGCUGUGCACCCAAAUCCAGAAAACAACCGGUUUGUCACAUGACAGCGCUCAUCAUGAGUUUGUUUCCGCGUCUGAAUGAAAGAGAGAGAGAGGCGCAUAUCUGAACUGUUGCGGUCCGCAAAACGCGCCGCCGAGCCAAGGUGAUAUUCCGGGCAAGGGGACCCGCAAAUUACCGUCGCUCGGACACGCUGCGGCAAUAACAUGUUCACACGGAUGAAAUCAGCUGUGGCCAAUUUUAUGGGAGGUAUGAUGGCUGGCAGUUCAAACGUUGACCAUUUUGGUGGCUCCGAUUUACCGCUGAAAUAUCCGUACACAAGACCGGAGUUUCUGGGACUGUCACCGGAUGAAAUCGAGUGCUCGGCGGAUCAUAUUUCUCGGCCGAUCCUCAUUCUGAAAGAGACGAAGAGGCUGCCAUGGGCCACUGGUUAUGCAGAGGUGAUCAAUGCAGGGAAGAGCCUUCUGAACGAGGACCAGGCAUGCUGUGAGGUGGUGGUAGUGAGGAGGAGACCCAAUGCUGGGGGCAACUCCACCCCCAACCUGACCCCCACCACACGGAGGAGGUCCUCCCUGCCCAAUGGAGAGGGACUGGGGCUCAGGGAGGAUGCUGAUGCAGUGCCCGGACUGACCUUCCACUACUGGGGGCUGUUUGACGGCCAUGCGGGCUCAGGGGCGGCGGUGGUGGCGUCUAAGCUGCUCCAGCACCACAUCGUAGAACACCUCCGAGAGGUCCUGGAUGUCCUGAGGAACCCGGCCCAGCUGGUCCCCAUCAUCCACGGGGAAGAGCCCACCAACCACAACCUCACCCCCACCACCCACAGGGGCAUCACCAGGACCGCCUCACUGCGGGGGGCCGCAGGGGCACCCGGCUCCCCCAGUCACCCCCCUUCCACCAGGUUCUUCACAGAGAAGAAGGUCCAUCAUGAGAGCCUGGUGAUGGGAGCCAUCGAGAAUGCCUUCAAAGAGAUGGAUGCCCAGAUUGAGAGAGACAAGGCUGUGUUUAACGUCUCAGGAGGCUGUACUGCUCUGUGUGCGCUCUUUUUACUCAGAAAGCUCUACGUUGGAAAUGCCGGGGACAGCAGAGCAAUCAUUAUCCGAGGUGGAGAGGUUAUCCCCAUGUCUACAGAGUUCACACCCGAGUCAGAGAGGCAGCGCUUGCAGUUCCUGGCCUACAUGCAGCCACACCUGUUAGGGGGAGAGUUUACACAUCUGGAGUUCCCCAGACGAGUACAGAGGAAGGAGGUGGGGAAGAGGAUGCUCUAUAGGGACUUCACUAUGUCUGGCUGGGCAUAUAAAACCAUUGAGGACGACGACCUGAAGUUUCCCCUAAUCUAUGGCGAAGGGAAGAAGGCACGUGUGUUGGCUACCAUCGGGGUCACCAGGGGCCUGGGAGACCACGAGCUCAAAGUGCAUGACUCCAACAUCUACAUCAAGCCCUUUUUGUCCUGCUGCCCGGAGGUCAAAGUUUACCCUCUGACUCAGUACGAACACGGGGCGGAUGACGUCCUGGUGAUGGGGACAGACGGGCUGUGGGACGUUCUCUCCAACCAGGAGGUUGCCGAGGCAGUCACCUGCUUCCUGGCCAACUGUGACCCUGAUGACCAGCAUAGGCAUGUUGCGUUCAUUCUACUGUAGCACAGCUGCUGCCCCCAGUCAGAUAGAGAGAUAAAUAUUGUAGUCACAAGCCUGAACUUCCACUCACCCUGCUCUUAUUUGGAGAGGAUGACCGUUGUUAUCUUGUCGUAAUUACACACUUUUCUAAACAUUUGGAUAAGUACUUUCUGAAGUUGAUGAAGAGCUUGUGAGACUAGUAAUGGAAAGAUUCCUUUCUUGAGGAUGCCAUGGCAUGGGGGUUGAUUUAAGUAAUCAAAACAGGAAAAACAUUCAAAUCGUUUCCGAAAUGUCCUACCCCUUCAAGGCUUUCUUAGUUUGGGGAUUAGUAAGUUCGCUUCAGGUGGCUAGUGGAAGCGUUUAAAGACUUUCUGAAUGGUACACGAUGGCAGCUCAGGACCUGGUCAUGAGGGCGCGGGGGGUUCUGAAGGACCGAGGCUGGAGGAUAGCCAACGACCGGCUGGGCUCUGGAGAUGACAUCUCCGUCUACAUCAUCCCUCUGAUGUACGGAAACCGGCAGACCUAGUCCAGGCCCAGCUCGCCAGCACCUACCAUGGGACUCAAGACAUAGGCUGUGUCCGAAAUGGCACCCUAUUCCCUAUAUAGUGCACUGCACUACUUUUAGCCAAGUCCAUAGAAAGUAGUGCACUAUAUAGGGUAUGGGAUGCAAUUUUAGGCACUCUCCCAAGUGGCAGACCUAGCUGAGGCCCAGCUAACCACCCACCAUGGGACUCUAGACAGGCUGCUCCCCCUCUCCCAUCUAUCAUAACCCCCCUUUCCUUAAAUCAAUGUCGUGGUGCUCACACAGUGCUUAAUCCUGGAUUGUUUUCCUGGGGAAGCAAAAUGGCACCUGGUUGUUGUACAGUACAGGGUAGCGUGAUUGUGCUUCUCUCUUGUGAAAGGAAAUUCUCAGGAUGUUACAAUAUACAGUACCUUCAGUUUCUUCUUUUGUUUCUGUGCUGCAAAUGAAAAAUUGACAAUUCUGGAGUCAAAGACCUAUAAGGGCCAUGUAUUUUAAACUUUUGAGUAGGCUAUGGUUUCUGCAUAGCCAAAUAUUUUCUGUUACAAUGGAAGGCUAUAGCUUUCACAAAGGUGAUCCUACUCUUUUGGAUAUCGCAUAGGACAAUUUUAAAUGAAGGGCAAAGGAACCGUCUUUCGAAGUGCAGUGCUUUAUGGUGUUGGUUUUUAGCCUAUUUAGAUGAGCUAUUGUUAAUAUAUUACUGAUUAUGAACAUGUAAAUAAGCUUAAACAUGAAUGGAUUUUAGAUAUAGAUUUCAGUUAUAUACCCUGUUUGAGUUGUGUGUACAGUAUACGUUAUGGAACCUGUUUUGUUCCUAUGAUGUUCCGUGUGUCUUUUCUGACUAAAGUCAACCAUCCACAAGUCACUGACCUAGACUAAGGGUGUCAAACAUACAAUCUGGCCUAAGGGUGGUUUUAGUAAAAAUCGGUUUUAUGUUUAGAAAUGAUAAUGGACCUACAUUUUAUACAGUUUCUUGACUGUGUUCAACUGGCUAAUAAUCACCAAAAUGAAAGCUAGACAGUCAGGGAGCAUCAAAUUCCAAAAACGAUGGAUAGAGGACUUUUUUUUUAACCACAUUUUGACAGCUAGGAAAUAAUAAAAAUAUAUAUGACUAGCAAAAUGACUGACUCUUCUGACCUAGACUGUACAAUCCUACCACAAACAUACUAUGGCUUUCAGAACCAUGGUUUGGGUGUUCCUCUCCAAGUGUAAAAUGAAUGAAGUCAGACUGGUUUUAUUGCCAGUGACUGUUUAACUUUUCUCCAUUUUGAUCGGUUUGUAUUUUCUUUGUCAUUGCUGUACUCCUGAAUCUGAAUUUACUUAAAGGAUAUGAAGGGACACAUCUUCACACUCGAUUAGGGUUGCAAACGGCAUGUAUAUUACUGGGAACUUUCUAUGUUUUUUUGGUAUCUUUCAAGGAUUUUAUCCUAUCCAUCACAAGACAUUUAGUGGCCAUUUUGGGUACAUCUGAUUAUCACAGGGGUCUGUAAUAAUCUCUGGCCCUCUGUGUGGCUUUAUCACAUGUACAAUAUAUGAAAUAAUUGAAUAAGAUAAAGUAUAGAAUGAGAAAGCUGUAAAAACAUUAUCCUAAAUAUAUAUUUAGAGAAUACCAUUGGUGUUUAAUGAGGGUUACAGCAUUAAAUAUCUUUAUUUUUAUAAAAUAUUUUACAAACUUUUAUUUUAAUUACUAUGUAUUUAUUGGCUUCAAACUGGUGUCAGUUGUGAAAAAAAAGUCAGUUGGAAGAGUUGCAGAGGGAUAAUCAACGAAGGGCUAUGCGUUCUAUGCAAAACAAUAAUGAACAACGUGGAAGGUGUGUUCCAAGACGCGAUAGCGGAGUAAACUGACCUUCCAUGGAGUUGGAUAAUUUCCCAGAGAACGCAUAGAGCCCCGAGUUGAUUAUCCGUUUUAUACCAUAGCUAUACUUUAACACAUUUGCCAGAAAUGUGUUCAAGUUGCCGUGAUAACCAAACAGACGUGUUUGUUUAGCUAACCAAACCAUCAGUCCUAGCUUGCUAUUAUGAAAAUCGAAUUCAACAAUGCCAAUAAUGUUUUCAAUUCGACUUUUGCUUUCAAAAGCAGCUCAAACAAAACAUGUAAGAGUGAACUAUAGCCAUUGAAUUUUAUGGUGUUGAUAUACCGUGCCUUUAUAGGGAAAUGACGCAUGCUCUAGAAUGCCAAUCAGAAACAAGUAUUCAACAAUGCCAUGGUAUAGUUAAGCAAUAAGACCCAAGGGGAUGUGGUAUAUGGCCAAUAUGCCACAGCUAAUGGCUGUUCUUAAGCACAACGCAGAGCAGAGUGUCUGGAUACAGCCCUUAGCCAUGGUAUUUUGGCCAUAUACUCUACCACAAAGCACUGCCGAGCCUUAUUGCUAUUAUAAAUUGGUUACCAAAGUAAUUAGAAGAGAAAAUAUUUAUUUUUAAUCAUACCCGUGGUAUACGGUCUGAUAUACCACAGCGUUCAGCCAGUCAGCAUUCAGGGCUCAACCGCCCAGUUUAUAAUUGAAAAAAAUUAUGUUGUUGAUUAGAUGCUUUUUUUUCAUUAAUUAGGCUAUUUUCUCUUGAACCAUAAGAUCUAUCUACUAGAAACCCUUGCACAAUAUGGACACAGAUAAAACAAAUUAAUACUAUAUGAUAUAUUUUUUUACAGUUCUAGUAUCAAUUACCAAAGUUAUGAUAGAUUGUGAAAGAUUUUCUGUGAAUUAUCAAAAUUACUGAAGAUUGUGGUAACUUUGGUAAAUUACUGGUAGCUUUGCAACCCUACAUUUGAUACAGAAUAGUGAAACAUCUACCUCAUGCUUUUGGUUUGUUUUAAACAAGAGAUCCAAUCCCUUGUCCCUGUUUCACCUGUGCAUUUUUUCUGUAUGUCAAAUACAUGUCAGCAUCAUCCUGUGUUGCGAGCUUGUUUACUUUAGAAAUAUGACACUGCAUAGGUACUGUGCAUGUGCCAUUCUUUACUUAAAUAAUGUCAUGUCAUUAGUUUUCAUACUAGUAUGGCUUAGUCUAGCUCUGUUCAACAUUGUAUAAUGGCAGGGAUGGGCAACAGUUGCGCUCGCAUACACACAAAACAUUUUAGUCCCCCCCCUCGAGAGCGGAGAUUUUAAAAAAAGUUUAGAGUUCAUUUUGAGAAUCUACAAAUUUUGCUAUGGGGUGUAGAGAAAAUGUUGCAGUUCUAAAGCAAGUUUGCUGCAAUUCCACACAGUUUGCAGUUUUUAAUAUGAUAACUGACUGAUUUCACAAAGUCAAUCGGGGCCCACUGAUGAUAAUUUCGACCAUAAUAAGUUUAUAUAGUUUAGCAGCCAGCUAAUUUAGCUGUCGUUGGCUAAUUUACUGACUCUGAAAUAACAAGAUAAAAACUGUUGAUGCACAACCAAAUUUCUUAAAUUGCACCAUGUGUAUUUUACUAUUUUAACUCUCAACAGUAAGUUGAGACCCCCACUGAGUCCCCCCCCCCCCAAAAAAAAACAACAUAUUUGAUCAAAGGGCGUUCAAAAGGAGAGUUGAUAGUUGCCCAUCCCUGUAUUAGGGGAAAGUCCCCUAUCUGUCAUAUAUUACAUGAAUAUGACAUAAGUAUAAAUGGUUUACUGAAUGUUGUGAGGGCAGAAUAUUUACUUGAGACAUGGUUGUGUCAUUUUAUCUUGAAACAAAUGCUUGAUUUAAUCAAAAGUUCAAGUUACAACAAGUGUGUAUCUCUCAAAUGAACAUUCAGACCUUAAAGGCUAGAGUUACAUCAGAUACAUGUAUUAGGAAGUGUUUAGGAGAAACACAAGAUGCAUUGGAAUGUUGGAAUGAAACUGUUGCCCUCUGUUUUUUUUGGUCGUUUUGAAAUGAUGUUUACUUGUAGUUUACUGUUCCUAUGUCACACAACUCAGGGAGCUAUGUGACUGAUUCUCAUGCCGGAUGUUGAACAGAAUGUUUUCUCUGUUAGAGUGUAUUUUAUCCUGUAUCCUUGUGUUGUUGUGCAGUCUGGUAUUUACACUUUGCUUGAACCGAUACUCUGCAAACUAACCAUUUAUGGCGUUGACCUGAAUCAAUUUCUGUUCAGAUACAGUAUGAAGGAUGUACAGUGUUUUGGGUUCCCACCUUUUUCCCUUUUAUGGAUCAGAGGAUGGAACUAGCAUCUAUUUAAAUGCUUGAUGCACUUCAGUGAUGUAGUAUGUAUAUUCUUUAUUCUAUACAGUGGGCUGACAAUGUCUGCUGGAUGAUCAGUCAGGAGCUACAUUAAUAGGCAUUCCACCUCACGUAGGACCUCUACUGAUGACACUGAUGCUCUAAAGAUAAACCCAUACAGUCACUAAUGAUGUCAGAACUUGGGACUUGCAAGAUGUGUCUGUGGCGUUUUCAGUGGAUUCCUAUCUGAGUUGUUUAAAAAACGUUUUUAGGGAGGUGUUGACGUCUACAACCGCGGUUUCUAAUCCAGUCAAAUCAGUAUCUAGUCAUGCAUAUAUUCCAUGUUAACUCUUACCACUGUUUACCUUUGUUAGCAUGUUUCUUUUCAAGCUGUUUCAAAGUGUUUCUGUUUUGAUUACACAAACUGUACUCAACUGCUCUAUGACUGACUCGCUCAAAACAAUACAGAAAGAGACUCAUGCAGAAUGUAAAAAAGAAUUGUAAAUACAGUACAAUGUAAAAAGACAAGUCGGAAACAAGUCUAUCCUUUGUAAUACUGUAUAUGUUGGACAUUUUUUGUAACUCCAAAAAACACUAAAUGAAUUAAACGGGAAUUCGUAAUGUUUUCAAAACGUAAAUGCAGUGUAAAAAAUUAAGGAUUGCUUUUACAAUUUAUAAAAAAUGCUGUGUGAGCCAUCA